rnacentral:rRNA from 1 species
UAAGAGGUCCCGCCUGCCCUGUGACUAUAUGUUUAACGGCCGCGGUAUUUUGACCGUGCGAAGGUAGCGCAAUCACUUGUCUUUUAAAUGGGGACCUGUAUGAAUGGCAUAACGAGGGCUUAACUGUCUCCUCUUUCAAGUCAAUGAAAUUGAUCUCCCCGUGCAGAAGCGAGGAUAGAUACAUAAGACGAGAAGACCCUAUGGAGCUUUAGACACUAAAGCAGAUCAGUAUUAAUACCCUGAACAUAGGCUACGAAUAAACUGACCCCUGCCCUAAUGUCUUUGGUUGGGGCGACCGCGGAGAAAAAUAAAACCCCCGCAAGGACUAAAUGUACUACAUUCACAAACAAGAGCGACAGCUCUAACUAACAGAACUUCUGACCAAUAAGAUCCGGCAAUGCCGAUCAAUGAACCGAGUUACCCUAGGGAUAACAGCGCAAUCUCCUCUUAGAGCCCAUAUCGACGAGG